UGCCUUUGGGGGGCAUCUAAC
rnacentral:piRNA from 1 species